rnacentral:rRNA from 1 species
GACGAACGCUGGCGGCGUGCUUAACACAUGCAAGUCGAACGGAAAGGCCUCUUUCGGGGGGUACUCGAGUGGCGAACGGGUGAGUAACACGUGAGUAACCUGCCCUUGACUUUGGGAUAACUUCAGGAAACUGGGGCUAAUACCGGAUAGGAGCUCCUGCUGCAUGGUGGGGGUUGGAAAGUUUCGGCGGUUGGGGAUGGACUCGCGGCUUAUCAGUUUGUUGGUGGGGUAGUGGCUUACCAAGGCUUUGACGGGUAGCCGGCCUGAGAGGGUGACCGGCCACAUUGGGACUGAGAUACGGCCCAGACUCCUACGGGAGGCAGCAGUGGGGAAUAUUGCACAAUGGGUGGAAGCCUGAUGCAGCAACGCCGUGUGCGGGAUGACGGCCUUCGGGUUGGAAACCGCUUUCGCUCAUGACGAAGCUUUGUGUGACGGUAGUGGGUAAAGAAGCACCGGCUAACUACGUG